CACGGGGGCAAUCCUGGUGGCGAGUGGCGAACGGGUGAGUAAUACAUCGGAACGUGUCCUGGAGUGGGGGAUAGCCCGGCGAAAGCCGGAUUAAUACCGCAUACGCUCUGAGGAGGAAAGGGGGGGAUCGCAAGACCUCUCGCUCAAGGGGCGGCCGAUGGCAGAUUAGCUAGUUGGUGGGGUAAAGGCCUACCAAGGCGACGAUCUGUAGCUGGUCUGAGAGGACGACCAGCCACACUGGGACUGAGACACGGCCCAGAUUCCUACGGGAGGCAGCAGUGGGGAAUUUUGGACAAUGGGCGCUAGCCUGAUCCAGCAAUGCCGCGUGUGUGAGGAAGGCCUUCGGG
rnacentral:rRNA from 1 species